UCUGGUUGAUCCUGCCAGUAGUCAUAUGCUUGUCUCAAAGAUUAAGCCAUGCAUGUCUAAGUAUAAAUAGUAUACAGUGAAACUGCGAAUGGCUCAUUAAAACAGUUAUAGUUUAUUUGAUAAUUGACAAUUACAUGGAUAACCGUGGUAAUUCUAGAGCUAAUACAUGCUUAAACGCCCGACUUUAUGGAAGGGUGGUAUUUAUUAGACUGAAGCCAAUAUUCCUUGUGUCUAUUGCGGUGAUUCAUAAUAACUGAUCGAAUCUCUUUUUGAGAUAAAUCAUUCAAGUUUCUGCCCUAUCAGCUUUCGAUGGUAGUGUAUUGGACUACCAUGGCAGUAACGGGUAACGAAGAAUUAGGGUUCGAUUUCGGAGAGGGAGCAUGAGAAACGACUACCACAUCUAAGGAAGGCAGCAGGCGCGUAAAUUACCCAAUCCUGACUCAGGGAGGUAGUGACAAGAAAUAGCAAACCGGGAACCUCAUGGUUUCACGGUAUUGCAAUGAGAACAAUUUAAAACCCUUAGCGAGAAUCAAGUGGAGGACAAGUCUGGUGCCAGCACCCGCGGUAAUUCCAGCUCCACUAGCGUAUAUUAAAGUUGUUGCAGUUAAAAAGCUCGUAGUUGAACCUCUGUCUGGGGCUAGUUUUGGCUUUGGUCAGGCUAGUUCUAGGCAUCCGCCUACAAGACUUAGAGGGCAUUCAGUUGUUCACUAGGAGGAGUAGGCAUUUUACUUUGAAAAAAUUAGAGUGUUUAAGGCAGGCAAUCGCCCGCAUAUAUUAGCAUGGAAUAAUAGAAUAGGACACUUUUCCAUUUCGUUGGUUAUUGGAAUCGUGUAAUGAUUAAUAGGGACAGUUGUGGGCAUUUGUAUUUAAUUGUCAGAGGUGAAAUUCUUGGAUUUAUUAAAGACAAACUAACGCGAAAGCAUUUGCCAAGGAUGUUUUCAUUAAUCAAGAACGAAAGUUAGGGGAUCAAAGACGAUCAGAUACCGUCCUAGUCUUAACUAUAAACUAUUCCGACUCAAUGUUUGACUGGCUUAUAUAACCAGUUGAGCGUUGUAUGAGAAAUCAAAGUCUUUAGGUUCUGGGGGGAGUAUGGUUGCAAAGCUGAAACUUAAAGGAAUUGACGGAAGAGCACAACCAGGAGUGGAUUCUGCGGCUUAAUUUGACUCAACACGGGGAAACUUACCAGGUUAAAACAAUAGUGGGAUUGACAGUUUGAGAGCGCUUUCUUGAUUGGUUGGGUGGUGGUGCAUGGCCGUUCUUAGUUGGUGGAGUGAUUUGUCUGCUUAAUUGCGUUAACGAACGAGACCUUAACCUGCUUACUAGAC
rnacentral:rRNA from 1 species